rnacentral:rRNA from 1 species
ACGAACGCUGCGGCGUGCUUAACACAUGCAAGUCGAACGAUGACCCGGAGCUUGCUCCGGUGAUUAGUGGCGAACGGGUGAGUAACACGUGAGCAACCUGCCCCUAACUCUGGGAUAACGCUUCGAAAGGAGUGCUAAUACCGGAUAUGACUCUGCGCGACAUCACGCGGAGUGGAAAGUUUUUUCGGUUAGGGAUGGGCUCGCGGCCUAUCAGCUUGUUGGUGAGGUAACGGCUCACCAAGGCUACGACGGGUAACCGGCCUGAGAGGGCGACCGGUCACACUGGGACUGAGACACGGCCCAGACUCCUACGGGAGGCAGCAGUGGGGAAUAUUGCGCAAUGGGCGAAAGCCUGACGCAGCGACGCCGCGUGAGGGAUGAAGGUCUUCGGAUUGUAAACCUCUUUCAGCAGGGACGAAGCGAAAGUGACGG